AGCUCAGGUGUGUGCAAUGCACUGAGUGACUUGAAGGGCUGGAGCCAGGAUCCACCCCUACCCAGGUCUCAUUUAAGUGUUGGCAGCAGCGGCAAAGAAGCUUCUCUAGAGAUCCUUGCAUAUUUAAGGCCUUCUGAAGAAUCUCCUGGGAGCAGCAAGAGCCUCUGAAGAAGCAAUAUUUGGAUGGGAAACUUAUGUCCUCCAAGCUGGCGAGUUGCAACACUGACACAGAUUUUUCUUGUCGUUGCAAAACUCUCCUUGUAAGAGGCACUGAAAACUCAGGAUUUGGAGCAUGGAAAGCACGAAUCCAGAGCAGCCAGAGAGGCUCCCAAGGCUCCUUGGGUAUUCCUUUGGAUGUCUUUGAGAAAACCUUUCCCUCUGCAAAGAAGAGGCUCCCAGAAGCAGGGAAGGAAGGAGCUGGGAAGAAGAGGAGGAGAGAUUCUUCUGGAACAUCAAUAGGUCUAAAUUCACAGAUUCAAUUUUUUCCCUUGCUUUUGCUACCACAAAUGGGAGCUGGAUCCCAAAAAGUCUUAACUCCACAGAGCCAGCACUCAUUUCUGUACGCCUGAGUCCUUCCACCACCCAUAAAAGCCUUUUGUGAUCAGUGUAACUGCCCGUCUGAGCACUUCUCAACCAUUAUGUAGGAAGAAAUGAGUAUUACUUUUAUUCUGACUCCCCAAGCUACAGGAAACAAGGAACCUAGACAGAGAGAGUAGGAAAAGAUGUCCAUACUUUCCCUUGUGACUCUGCAGGCUGUCAGCAGCCUUGGGAGGACACUAACAGGAGGAGAAAGGCAGAUCCGUGUGGUUCCCAACAGGGAGCAAGCCUGGGUAGUGCAGGGAUUAUCUGCAGCAGCUUUUGUUUGGGUCUGGAAGGGAGCACUGAGGGCAUUGCAAAGCGUUAUGGCAAUGUGAGGACACUGGAGCACUUCUCAAAGCACCCCUGUGGACCUAUUAAUUGCAAUAUUGGAUCUUUCAUCUUUUUCAGCAGGUUCCCAGCAAUAGGCAUGCAGCCAGCUUGGCUGGGGUUUUGUUUAUUUUCCAGUUAACAUAGAAGCAGAAUCAAUUCCAACUAACAAAGCUAGAAAUAUCAGGGGAAAAAAAAAAAAGUUCAAUUCCCACGGAUCAUCUGAGGCAUAUGCCUGGAAGGUAUUUACUGGUAGCAGGGCAAUUAGGGCAAUGAUAGGGCAGGGGACCAGGAACAUCUCCCAGAAGAGGGUGUGAAACAUAGCAAGCCCAUCAUCAGCAAGGCAAGAGAAGUACCUUCACUGUGUUGAUUACCACUAGCUAGAUGGGAAAAUUGUGCUUGGAAGCAUGGCAGCACACACAAAACCCAGCUGCAAAUGCUCCCUACAGCAGUUCUCCCCCCAGGGUGGCAAGAGGCAGCUGAGUGGUGCUCAUCUGACGUCCUGUUGCGAUAAGUGUUAAGUGUGGCUGCCCAAACUGAGUAACCAGCAAUUGUUACCAACCCUAUUAAGCUUUAAGUGGCACUUUAGCCUUGCUCCUUGCUCACUGGUGCUGGGUUUGGGUUAUUUAACACAUGGACUCUGGCCACAUGGUCCAACUGGAGCAUAAACUGCCAGAAACUUAAACACUUGUUCACUUCACCACUGCCAGAUUUCCCUCACCUUCAUCGGGGCAGAGCUGCUAACAGCGUUCUGUGAGUUCUUGCCAGGAGCAUCUGUGAAUUAUGGAUAUCAAUACCCAGUGACUUUCUAUAGGUCACAUUUUUGGCCCCAUCAACACACAGUGGCAAUCCAGGGCUGCCCAGCACACCUGCUAUGUCCCUGAGCGAUGUUGGGCAGAUAUAACAUUGAUACCAUUUGCCUUUUUCAGCAACUCAAAUAGGAUUUCUCUAGGUGCCACCCUUUGGGUCCUGCAGGUCACUGCUUACCACGCUCAAACCGUUUGCAUUUAUUUUCUCAGUGUUUACUUGCUUUAAAUAUGCAACUAUAAUCAGUGGAACAUUUCAAAAACCUGAGUACGUGCUGAUCUGAAGGGCCUUUAUGCUCUUAAGGCCAUAUUAUGAGAAGUGUGAAGUUGUUGUGCAGUCCCUUCCCUGGAUGCUGGCUGCUUCUAGUCUCAGUCCCAUCCUGAGCAGCCUUUGGGGGAGGAGAGAUCUGGGCUGAGCGUGCAGGAGAAAUGCAAGGCUUUAGGUUGAAAACGCUGAGUGUGAGUCAUAAUUCUCCAGAAACUGAACAAAAAAAGGAAAAGAUGCACCAGCUGCGAUACAUGGAGAGGUUUCGAAAAUCUCUGAUUGAAGUAUAUAACUACAGCAGGUCUGCUAGCAAAACCUGAAUGAAGGCAG